ensembl:snRNA U6 U6 spliceosomal RNA
UCGCUUCAGCAGCACAUAUACUAAAAUUGGAACGAUACAGAGAAGAUUAGCAUGGCCCCUGGGCAAGGAUGACACACAAAUUCAUGAAGCGUUCCAUAUUAAA